UACAGAGGGUGCGAGCGUUGUUCGGAAUUACUGGGCGUAAAGCGCGUGUAGGCGGUCGGGCAAGUCGGGUGUGAAAGCCCAGAGCUCAACUCUGGAAGUGCAUUCGAUACUGCUUGGCUAGAGUCCCGGAGAGGAUGGUGGAACUCUCGGUGUAGAGGUGAAAUUCGUAGAUAUCGAGAAGAACACCGGUGGCGAAGGCGGCCAUCUGGACGGUGACUGACGCUGAGACGCGAAAGCGUGGGGAGCAAACAGG
rnacentral:rRNA from 1 species